ensembl:lncRNA
CAAUUUGCCAAAGCACUUUUUGCAUUCCUUCAGUGCGGUUGCUUGACUUGCCUUUUACUGCACUUCAGUCAUGUUUUCACAUUUGAAGAAUUCUCACUGAAAAUAGACCUCUUACUGAUAACAGAACCAGACAUAAAAGCUGUCAUAAUGAGGAGUAGCAGUAAACAUCAGAUUUGCAAUUUGUUUUUUAUGUAUUAACACGGUGGAGUAUUUAACUGAAGUGGAAUGAAUUACAGUAUUUAAUGAGGUUAAAGUGCAUAAUCUAAGUCACUUGCAUAUCUUCAACAGUAAUGGUAGUUAUCUGAUAAUGUGUAUUUUAUGGCUGAUCUUGCCACUUGCAGACAUAUAACCCUCCUAAAGGCAGUGGAUCUUUUUCUUUAAGUCUUGCAUGCUGUAAGAAAGGCUGCAAAUGAAAACAGAGAUGAAGGAUGGUUUACAAAGCCAUAAGAAGACAAAGCCUUAACUGGAAGAGGUGUACGUUCCUGGUUGUCCAAAGCCAAUGCUAUGUCAUUCUUUCACCCAUCGCCACUGCAGACAUUUAGGAGAUCAGUCAGGCUUGGAUUCAAUCUUUGUUUAAUAACACAGCCAUUAAUUAACCUAAAAUAAUGAAGCAGAACAAACUGUUCAAUUUAGAGCCAGGGUUUAAAAACUGCAAAACAGGAGACACGUUGCCAUGUGAUAAGUUCAACCAUCGGAUCCCCUGGAAUGGGGUGCUCUUCAGAUUGUCACUGCCCCUCAGGCAGCAAACGGGGCACAGAAGGACCAGACUAUGCAGAAAUGCACCCAGCUCUACUUGGUUAUGUACAGGAGGCAUUUGUCUGAAUGCCUUCAUUUACAGCAGCAGGCUUUCUGGCGUGACUUCUCCUCGUGCUGCCCAGAUCUAUACAGCACCAUGUCAUGUGCUGCAGCAGGAAGGUGGUGUGGAGGUGCUCAGCUGCAGGCCGCUCUCGAGCAAAGGAGCUCCAAUCCUUUGAGCACACUUAGCACAGACCUUCCUCCCCUUCCUUCCCCCUUUCAGCCAGACCUCGUUCCUCCCAGCUCAGAGUUCUCAUGUUCAAACUAAGGCCACUCGUGAAAGCAGCUGCACCUGCAGCACUGUGACACCUGAGCCUGACCACGGCAGGAUCCAGAAGCUCAUCUCAGAAGGGGCAAGCAGAAACAUUUCUUUUUCCCUCUCUCCCCCCAUAUCUCAUCACAGCCUGGUCCUUGGAGCCAGGGGUCAGCACAGGCACAGCACAAACGACUUCUGAAUGAGCAGCACCUGCCCUACUUGCUCCAUGCAGUCAGAUGUGCCUGUGUCGUACAGAAACUAGGCUAAAUGACAGGAGUGUCACUCCGGAAGCCUUUAUUUUGAUGUUGUUUUGUAUAUCCUGCAUUAAAACCUAGAGAGAGAGGAACCUAGAGAGUUCCAGAGAGGAAUAGGUCUACGUCUGAGGUCUGUUUGAGUAAGGACUAAGGCAGGAAUCUGAGAUUUGGACUGCCAUGAAAGGAAAAGAGUACCAGCACUGAGAAAAUUAUAGAAGCACAGGACAGCUGAGGCUGGCAGGGCCCUCUGGGUCCCUCUGCUCCAACCCCUGACCCAGCAGGGACACCCAGAGCAGGGUGCCCAGGGCCACGUCCAGGCAGCUCUGGGAGAUCCCCAAGGAGGAGACCCCACAGCCUCUGGGCAGCCUGUGCCAGUGCUCCGUCACUGCACAGCACAGAAGGGCUCCUGGUGUUCAGAGGGAACCUCCUGUGCUCCAGUUUGUGCCCAUGGUCUCUGCUCCUGGCACCGGGCAUCACUGGCAGAGCCUGGCUCCAGUCUGUGGCACCCUCCCUUGGGGAUUUAUGGACACUGAUGAGAUCUCCCUGAGCCUCCUCUUCUUCAAGUGAGCAGUCCCAAAUAUUUCAGAACUCUUCAUCUCCAGUUUCAUCAGCCCAUAAGGGGAGAGAAUCCUUUAACCACCUCUGUAGCCGGAGUCCACCUUCUACCUGCCCAGUGUCAGGAACAUGAGCCUUGAGGAAUGCAUCUCCUCACUGCAAUUCCAGCAGCCCUAAGGGUUGUGAAAUAUGUGGCCAUAAUCACCAAGGAUCCCAGCCGUCAUAGAAUCAUUAAGGUUGGAAAAGACCGCUAAGAUCAUAUAGUCCAACCAUCAGCCCAUCUCCGCCAUGCCCACUAACCAUGUCCCUCAGCACCACAUCUGCACAUUUCCUGAAUACCUCCAGGGAUGGUAAAUCCACCCUCUGUCUCAGCCUGUUCCAAUGCACUCUUUCUGAGAAGAAACGUUCCCUAAUAUUCAACCUGAACCUCCUCUGGUGCAACUUAAGGCCAUUCCCUCUCAUCCUAUUGCUGUUACUUGGGAGAAGAGGCCAACACCCACCUCACCACAACCUCCUUUCAGGGAACUGUUGAGAGUGAUAAGGUGUCCGCUGAGCCUCUUCUUCUCCAGACUGAGCAAUCUCAGUUCUCUCAGCUGCUCCCCAUACGACUUGUGUUCCAGACCCUUCGUGGCUUCAUUACCCUUCUCUGGACAUGCUCCAGGGUCUCAAUGUCUUUCUUGUAGUGAGGGACCCAAAAUUGAAUGCAGUACUUGAGGUGAUCUCACCUAAAAGUAGCUGGAGUCACUUUUCCUAUUGACUUUCAGUGACUGCUGCCUCCCUCAUUCAAUGAA